rnacentral:rRNA from 1 species
UACGUAGGGACCGAGCGUUGUCCGGAUUCAUUGGGCGUAAAGAGCUCGUAGGCGGUCUGUCGCGUCGGAUGUGAAAUCCAAGGGCUUAACCCUGGACCUGCAUUCGAUACGGGCAGACUAGAGUUCGGUAGGGGAGACGUGGAAUUCCUGGUGUAGCGGUGAAAUGCGCAGAUAUCAGGAGGAACACCGGUGGCGAAGGCAGCUCUCUGGGACGGUACUGACGCUGAGACGCGAAAGCGUGGGGAGCGAACAGG